ACUUCGGUGGGGAUUAGUGGCUUCGGGUGUUAAACACGUGGGCAAUCUGCCCUGCACUCUGGGACAAGCCCUGGAAACGGGGUCUAAUACCGGAUACUGAUCCUCGCAGGCGAGGUUCGAAAGCUCCGGCGGUGCAGGAUGAGCCCGCGGCCUAUCAGCUAGUUGGUGAGGUAACGGCUCACCAAGGCGACGACGGGUAGCCGGCCUGAGAGGGCGACCGGCCACACUGGGACUGAGACACGGCCCAGACUCCUACGGGAGGCAGCAGUGGGGAAUAUUGCACAAUGGGCGAAAGCCUGAUGCAGCGACGCCGCGUGAGGGAUGACGGCCUUCGGGUUCUUAACCCAAUUCAGCAGGGAAGAAGCGAAAGUGACGGUACCUGCAGAAGAAGCGCCGGCUAACUACGUGCCAGCAGCCGCGGUAAUACGUAGGGCGCAAGCGUUGUCCGGAAUUAUUGGGCGUAAAGAGCUCGUAGGCGGCUUGUCACGUCGGUUGUGAAAGCCCGGGGCUUAACCCCGGGUCUGCAGUCGAUACGGGCAGGCUAGAGUUCGGUAGGGGAGAUCGGAAUUCCUGGUGUAGCGGUGAAAUGCGCAGAUAUCAGGAGGAACACCGGUGGCGAAGGCGGAUCUCUGGGCCGAUACUGACGCUGAGGAGCGAAAGCGUGGGGAGCGAACAGGAUUAGAUACCCUGGUAGUCCACGCCGUAAACGGUGGGCACUAGGUGUGGGCAACAUUCCACGUUGUCCGUGCCGCAGCUAACGCAUUAAGUGCCCCGCCUGGGGAGUACGGCCGCAAGGAAUUGACGGGGGCCCGCACAAGCGGCGGAGCAUGUGGCUUAAUUCGACGCAACGCGAAGAACCUUACCAAGGCUUGACAUACACCGGAAAACCCUGGAGACAGGGUCCCCCUUGUGGUCGGUGUACAGGUGGUGCAUGGCUGUCGUCAGCUCGUGUCGUGAGAUGUUGGGUUAAGUCCCGCAACGAGCGCAACCCUUGUCCCGUGUUGCCAGCAGGCCCUUGUGGUGCUGGGGACUCACGGGAGACCGCCGGGGUCAACUCGGAGGAAGGUGGGGACGACGUCAAGUCAGGCUACCCCUUAUGUCUUGGGCUGCACACGUGCUACAAUGGCCGGUACAAUGAGCUGCGAUAGGCCGCGAGGUGGAGCGAAUCUCAAAAAGCCGGUCUCAGUUCGGAUUGGGGUCUGCAAUUUGACCCCGUUUAGUGGAGUCGCUAGUAAUCGCAGGGCAGCAUUGCUGCGGUGAAUACGUUCCGCGGGACUUGUCCCCACCGCCCAUCACGUCACGAAAGUCGGUAACACCCGA
rnacentral:rRNA from 1 species